rnacentral:rRNA from 1 species
UACGUAGGUCCCGAGCGUUGUCCGGAUUUAUUGGGCGUAAAGCGAGCGCAGGUGGUUUAUUAAGUCUGGUGUAAAAGGCAGUGGCUCAACCAUUGUAUGCAUUGGAAACUGGUAGACUUGAGUGCAGGAGAGGAGAGUGGAAUUCCAUGUGUAGCGGUGAAAUGCGUAGAUAUAUGGAGGAACACCGGUGGCGAAAGCGGCUCUCUGGCCUGUAACUGACACUGAGGCUCGAAAGCGUGGGGAGCUAACAGG